rnacentral:rRNA from 1 species
UACGGGGGGAGCAAGCGUUGUUCGGAUUUACUGGGCGUAAAGGGCGCGUAGGCGGCGCAACAAGUCACUUGUGAAAUCUCCGGGCUUAACUCGGAAAGGUCAAGUGAUACUGUUGUGCUAGAGUGCGGAAGGGGCAACUGGAAUUCUCGGUGUAGCGGUGAAAUGCGUAGAUAUGCGGAGGAACACCGAUGGCGAAGGCAAUCCCCUGGGCCUGCACUGAGGCUCAUGCACGAAAGCGUGGGGAGCAAACAGG